rnacentral:rRNA from 1 species
AUUGAACGCUGGCGGCAUGCCUUACACAUGCAAGUCGAACGGUAACGGGCCUUCGGGUGCCGACGAGUGGCGAACGGGUGAGUAAUGCAUCGGAACGUACCUUUCAGUGGGGGAUAACGUAGCGAAAGUUACGCUAAUACCGCAUAUUCUGUGAGCAGGAAAGCAGGGGAUCGCAAGACCUUGCGCUGAUUGAGCGGCCGAUGUCAGAUUAGCUAGUUGGUGAGGUAAAGGCUCACCAAGGCGACGAUCUGUAGCGGGUCAGAGAGGAUGAUCCGCCACACUGGAACUGAGACACGGUCCAGACUCCUACGGGAGGCAGCAGUGGGGAAUUUUGGACAAUGGGGGCAACCCUGAUCCAGCCAUGCCGCGUGAGUGAAGAAGGCCUUCGGGUUGUAAAGCUCUUUCGGCCGGGAAGAAAUCGUAUGGGCUAAUACCCUGUGCGGAUGACGGUACCGGCAUAAGAAGCACCGGCUAACUACGUGCCAGCCGCCGCGGUAAUAC